rnacentral:rRNA from 1 species
AGAGUUGAUCCUGGCUCAGGAUGAACGCUGGCGGCGUGCCUAACACAUGCAAGUCGAGCGUGAACCCUGCGAAUGAAACUUCGGUCGAUUUUGCAGGAGGAAAGCGGCGGACGGGUGAGUAACGCGUGGGUAACCUGCCCCAUACUGAGGGAUAGCCUCGGGAAACCGGGAUUAAUACCUCAUAACACCGUUUGUUCGCAUGGACGAACGGUCAAAGAUUUACCGGUAUGGGAUGGGCCUGCGUCUGAUUAGCUGGUUGGUGGGGUAACGGCCUACCAAGGCGACGAUCAGUAGCCGACCUGAGAGGGUGAUCGGCCACAUUGGAACUGAGACACGGUCCAAACUCCUACGGGAGGCAGCAGUGGGGAAUAUUGCACAAUGGGCGAAAGCCUGAUGCAGCAACGCCGCGUGAGCGAAGAAGGCCUUUGGGUUGUAAAGCUCUGUCGGGUAGGAAGAUAAUGACGGUACUACCCGAGGAAGCCCCGGCUAACUACGUGCCAGCAGCCGCGGUAAUACGUAGGGGGCGAGCGUUAUCCGGAAUUACUGGGUGUAAAGGGUGCGUAGGUGGCUGCUUAAGCGUGAGGUGAAAGGCAAUGGCUUAACCAUUGUGAGCCUCGCGAACUGGGUGGCUUGAGUGCAGGAGGGGAAAGCGGAAUUCCUAGUGUAGCGGUGAAAUGCGUAGAUAUUAGGAGGAACACCAGUGGCGAAGGCGGCUUUCUGGACUGCAACUGACACUGAGGCACGAAAGCGUGGGGAGCAAACAGGAUUAGAUACCCUGGUAGUCCACGCCGUAAACGAUGAGCACUAGGUGUCGGGGUCGCAAGACUUCGGUGCCGCAGUUAACGCAUUAAGUGCUCCGCCUGGGGAGUACGCACGCAAGUGUGAAACUCAAAUGAAUUGACGG